ACCCCUGGCGGGGAGUGAAAAGAACCUGAAACCGUGUGCUUACAAACAGUUAGAGCCCAUCAAUGGGUGAUAGCGUGCCUUUUGUAGAAUGAGCCGGCGAGUUACGUUAAUUUGCAAGGUUAAGCUUUUAGGAGUGGAGCCGUAGCGAAAGCAAGUCUUAAUAGGGCGAAUAAGUAGAUUGACGUAUACCCGAAACCGGGUGAUCUAGCCAUGAGCAGGUUGAAGCUUGGGUAAAACCAGGUGGAGGACCGAACCAGGGUCUGUUGAAAAAGACUUGGAUGACUUGUGGCUAGGGGUGAAAUUCCAAUCGAACCCGGAGAUAGCUGGUUCUCCCCGAAAUAGCUUUAGGGCUAGCGUUGUGAGAAGAGUUAUACGAAGGUAGAGCACUGAAUGGGUGAGGGCCGCACCUCGCGGUACCAAUCUCAAUCAAACUCCGAAUGUCGUAUAAUAUGCGCAGCAGUAAGACUAUGGGUGAUAAGGUCCAUGGUCAAAAGGGAAACAGCCCAGACCGCCAGUUAAGGUCCCAAAAUUAUGCUAAGUGGGAAAGGAGGUGGAGUCGCUUAAACAACUAGGAGGUUGGCUCAGAAGCAGCCAUCCUUUAAAGAGUGCGUAAUAGCUCACUAGUCGAGUGAUUCUGCGCCGAAAAUGUAUCGGGGCUAAGCAUAAUACCGAAGCUGCGGGAUUAGAUGAAGAAUCUAAUCGGUAGGGGAGCGUACUAAGUGCGCAGAAGGUUGACCGGAAGGGCAGCUGGAGCGCUUAGCAGUGAGUAUGCCGGUGUGAGUAGCGAUAAGAUGGGUGAGAAUCCCAUCCGUCGAAAGCCUAAGGUUUCCAGGGGUAAGGCUCGUCCUCCCUGGGUAAGUCGGGUCCUAAGGUGAGGCUGAGAAGCGUAGCUGAUGGACAUCAGGUUGAUAUUCCUGAACCACCAUAAAACUGAAGGAAUGACGGAGGAGGCUAAUCAGAGCUGAUUAAUGGAUUUCAGUUUAAGUACAAAGAGGGUUACGUAGGCAAAUCCGCGUAGCAAAACCUUGAAGUAUGACGACGUAAGUCUGGUGAAGCCACACUUCCAAGAAAAGUUUCUAGGUGUAUUUUAUGGUGCCCGUACCGUAAACGGACACACGUAGGCGAGGAGAGAAUCCAAAGACGCGCGAGAUAAUUCUUGUUAAGGAACUCUGCAAAAUUACUCUGUAACUUCGGAAUAAAGAGGGCUCCCGUGAGGGAGACGCAGAAAAUAGGCCCAAGCGACUGUUUAACAAAAACAUAGGUUUCUGCUAAAGCGUAAGCUGAUGUAUAGGAGCUGACGCCUGCCCAGUGCUGGAAGGUUAAGAGGAGAAGUUAGUCGCAAGGCGAAGCUUUGAAUUGAAGCCCCAGUAAACGGCGGCCGUAACUAUAACGGUCCUAAGGUAGCGAAAUUCCUUGUCAGGUAAGUUCUGACCCGCACGAAAGGCGUAACGAUUUGGGCGCUGUCUCAACAAGAAACUCGGUGAAAUCAUAGUACCUGUGAAGAUGCAGGUUACCCGCGAUCAGACGGAAAGACCCCAUGGAGCUUCACUGCAACUUAAUAUUGAUAUUGGGUGUGUGAUGUACAGGAUAGGUGGGAGACAAAGAAGCGAGUACGCUAGUAUUCGUGGAGUCAACCUUGGGAUACCACCCCUCGCACAUUUAGUAUCUAACUAGUUUCCAUAAGCUGGGAAUAGAACAGUGUUAGGUGGGCAGUUUGACUGGGGCGGUCGCCUCCCAAAGAGUAACGGAGGCGCCCAAAGGUUCCCUCAGAAUGGUUGGAAAUCAUUCAUAGAGUGUAAAGGCAGAAGGGAGCUUGACUGCGAGACGGACAGGUCGAGCAGGAACGAAAGUUGGGCUUAGUGAACCGGCUGUGCUGAAUGGAAAGGCAGUCGAUCAACGGACAAAAGCUACCCUGGGGAUAACAGGCUGAUCUCCCCCAAGA
rnacentral:rRNA from 1 species